AUUUGGAUCUAAGCAUGCAAGUAAAAAAAUUCAUCCCUGUUAUAGUAUUUCAGGUUUGCAGUACGUUAUGACAUUUGUAGAUCAUUGAUGGACUAUGAAUAUUCAAGGGACCUGGCAAUUGUACCCAGGGGAUUGAGAUCCAGAUACUUGUUUGUUUGCCCAUAGAUAUAAAAUUAGGAGCUUCCUGAUAUCUAAUUUACUUUUUUAGGAAUAACACCCAUGAGAUACAGUUCUCAUCUACUGCCCUACUCCUGUCCUUAGAUAAAUAACACCGGAAGAAGAAGACUCUCUGGCCUCUUACAUCAGGGACACAUGAAAAGCCACACUGAAUAUGUAUGAACUCCAAUAUACUUUCACAGAAGGGUUUAAGGAUGCCAUCCCUGGUUAUAAUUUUUAGGACCAAAUAUAUAUAUAUAUACACACAUACACACACAUUUAGGAUAGAUAUAUAUUUAGGAUAUAUAGGAUAAAUAUAUAUAUUUAGUGCCAUGGUUUGGGUCAUGAGGAGGUUUGAUGACAUAAAAAUUAUGCUCAUAAGUAUUAUGCUGAGACCCAUUCUUGGGAGGAGAUGUGGGGGUGUCCUAGGCUGUGCAAAACAUAGCUAUGGAAACAGAAGUUAUUAAGAGAAAAGAACAAGCAGUCAGUGAGAAUUUAGAUAAGAGACUGUAAUAGAAUAAAAGUAUCAGAUUAGUGAAUGGUUGUCCUAGUAAUUUGGAAGAAAAGGAAUAAAAAAUGGAGUCAGACUACUAAAUGGCAAAAAUAAAGACUUGAAGAACUUAAUUUUAUACCUGAGCUUUGCUUUGAUUGAAAGUUGAGAAAUCUUGUGAUUUGUCGGUAUCAUCAUCUCAAAUCAACUUAUUUUUCAUCUCAACAUGAAGAAUAUCAGCUCUAGCCUUUUGGAAUUUCAGCAACUCAGAUGCUUGUUAGAACUUAUCCAGGACUGCUUGCAGGACCCAAAAUACUAAUAAUCCAUAUGCCUUUUUUUCCAGCUGAAAUUAGCUGUCUUAAGAGUUGUUUUUCAGUGCUCUGAGGAUAUCCACAAAUAUAUCCCAAGGCACUCUGAAGUGUGUUUUCAAUCUUUGGCCCUGCACACUGGGGAUGCCCACUGGAUGUUGCAUGGAGUGUUGCCUCCAGUUGACUUUGAUAGACACAAUAAACACCACGUGAGAGCCCCCUCAUGAAGGAGGGCUGAGGACUUGGAGUCCAAUUCUCCACCUCCCCUGACAGAUAGGCUAUUCAAUGCCUUGGGAAUCCGACAUGAAGGACUGCUUAUAGCAGUCCUUGAAAACUUUCUACAGAAUGUGAACUGGGAGAAGCUAAAUGCUGUACUCACAAGCUGGGUGACUUCUCC
rnacentral:lncRNA from 10 species